rnacentral:rRNA from 1 species
UACGUAGGGGGCAAGCGUUGUCCGGAUUUACUGGGCGUAAAGAGCGCGCAGGCGGUCGUUCAAGUCGCGUGUGAAAGCCCCCGGCUCAACUGGGGAGGGUCACGCGAUACUGAUCGACUCGAAGGCAGGAGAGGGUAGUGGAAUUCCCGGUGUAGUGGUGAAAUGCGUAGAUACCGGGAGGAACACCAGUGGCGAAGGCGGUUACCUGGAGCUUUGCUGACGCUGAUGCGCGAAAGCGUGGGGAGCGAUCCGG